GGAUUAGAUACCCUGGUAGUCCACGCCGUAAACGAUGAUCACUAGCUAUUGGCGAUACACUGUCAGUGGCACAGCGAAAGUGUUAAGUGAUCCACCUGGGGAGUACGAUCGCAAGGUUGAAACUCAAAGGAAUUGACGGGGGCCCGCACAAGCGGUGGAGCAUGUGGUUUAAUUCGAUGAUACGCGAGGAACCUUACCAGGGCUUAAAUGUAUGUUGACAUAUUGGGAAACCAGUAUUUCUUCGGACAAUAUACAAGGUGCUGCAUGGCUGUCGUCAGCUCGUGCCG
rnacentral:rRNA from 1 species